CGGACGGGUGAGUAAUGCGUAGGGAUUUGUCGUUGGGUGGGGGAGUAAACCUUGGGAAACUGGGGCUAAUACCGCAUGACGCCUUUGGGCCAAAGUUUCGGGUGUGAGCCCGGUGGCGCCUGACGAGAAGCCUGCGUCCGAUUAGCUAGUUGGUUGGGUAGUGGCUGACCAAGGCAUCGAUCGGUAGCUGGUCUGAGAGGAUGAUCAGCCACACUGGGACUGAGACACGGCCCAG
rnacentral:rRNA from 1 species